rnacentral:rRNA from 1 species
UCCGCAGGUGGCUUUGUAAGUUAGAUGUGAAAUCUCAGGGCUCAACCCUGAAACUGCAUCUAAAACUGCAUAGCUUGAGUACAGGAGAGGUUGGCGGAAUUCCCGGUGUAGCGGUGAAAUGCGUAGAUAUCGGAGGAACACCAGUGGCGAAGGCGGCCAACUGGCCUGUUACUGACACUCCGGGACGAAAGCGUGGGUAGCGAACG